rnacentral:rRNA from 1 species
GAUGCCGCUUGCUGGUGGAUUAGUGGCGAACGGGUGAGUAACACGUGAGUAACCUGCCCUUAACUCUGGGAUAAGCCUGGGAAACUGGGUCUAAUACCGGAUAUGACUCCUCAUCGCAUGGUGGGGGGUGGAAAGCUUUAUUGUGGUUUUGGAUGGACUCGCGGCCUAUCAGCUUGUUGGUGAGGUAAUGGCUCACCAAGGCGACGACGGGUAGCCGGCCUGAGAGGGUGACCGGCCACACUGGGACUGAGACACGGCCCAGACUCCUACGGGAGGCAGCAGUGGGGAAUAUUGCACAAUGGGCGAAAGCCUGAUGCAGCGACGCCGCGUGAGGGAUGACGGCCUUCGGGUUGUAAACCUCUUUCAGUAGGGAAGAAGCGAAAGUGACGGUACCUGCAGAAGAAGCGCCGGCUAACUACGUGCCAGCAGCCGCGGUAAUACGUAGGGCGCAAGCGUUAUCCGGAAUUAUUGGGCGUAAAGAGCUCGUAGGCGGUUUGUCGCGUCUGCCGUGAAAGUCCGGGGCUCAACUCCGGAUCUGCGGUGGGUACGGGCAGACUAGAGUGAUGUAGGGGAGACUGGAAUUCCUGGUGUAGCGGUGAAAUGCGCAGAUAUCAGGAGGAACACCGAUGGCGAAGGCAGGUCUCUGGGCAUUAACUGACGCUGAGGAGCGAAAGCAUGGGGAGCGAACAGGAUUAGAUACCCUGGUAGUCCAUGCCGUAAACGUUGGGCACUAGGUGUGGGGGACAUUCCACGUUUUCCGCGCCGUAGCUAACGCAUUAAGUGCCCCGCCUGGGGAGUACGGCCGCAAGGC